rnacentral:tRNA from 2 species
CGGGAUUUAGCGCAGUUGGUAGCGCACACGUCUGGGGGGCGCGAGGUCGCUGGUUCGAGUCCAGUAAUCCCGAC